UACGUAGGUGGCGAGCGUUAUCCGGAUUUACUGGGUGUAAAGGGCGCGUAGGCGGGAAUGCAAGUCAGAUGUGAAAUCCAGGGGCUUAACCCUUGAACUGCAUUUGAAACUGUAUUUCUUGAGUGUCGGAGAGGUUGACGGAAUUCCUAGUGUAGCGGUGAAAUGCGUAGAUAUUAGGAGGAACACCAGUGGCGAAGGCGGUCAACUGGACGAUAACUGACGCUGAGGCGCGAAAGCGUGGGGAGCAAACAGG
rnacentral:rRNA from 2 species